rnacentral:rRNA from 1 species
GACGAACGCUGGCGGCGUGCUUAACACAUGCAAGUCGAACGGAAAGGCCCUGCUUUUGUGGGGUGCUCGAGUGGCGAACGGGUGAGUAACACGUGAGUAACCUGCCCUUGACUUUGGGAUAACUUCAGGAAACUGGGGCUAAUACCGGAUAGGAGCUCCUGCUGCAUGGUGGGGGUUGGAAAGUUUCGGCGGUUGGGGAUGGACUCGCGGCUUAUCAGCUUGUUGGUGGGGUAGUGGCUUACCAAGGCUUUGACGGGUAGCCGGCCUGAAAGGGAGACCGGCCACAUUGGGACUGAAAUACGGCCCAGACUCCUACGGGAGGCAGCAGUGGGGAAUAUUGCACAAUGGGCGGAAGCCUGAUGCAACAACGCCGCGUGCGGGAUGACGGCCUUCGGGUUGUAAACCGCUUUCGCCUGUGACGAAGCGUGAGUGACAGUAAUGGGUAAAGAAGCACCGGCUAACUACGUGCCAGCAGCCGCGAUGAUACGUAGGGUGCGAGCGUUGUCCGGAUUUAUUGGGCGUAAAGGGCUCGUAGGUGGUUGAUCGCGUCGGAAGUGUAAUCUUGGGGCUUAACCCUGAGCGUGCUUUCGAUACGGGUUGACUUGAGGAAGGUAGGGGAGAAUGGAAUUCCUGGUGGAGCGGUGGAAUGCGCAGAUAUCAGGAGGAACACCAGUGGCGAAGGCGGUUCUCUGGGCCUUUCCUGACGCUGAGGAGCGAAAGCGUGGGGAGCGAACAGGCUUAGAUACCCUGGUAGUCCACGCUGUAAACGGUGGGUACUAGGUGUGGGGUCCAUUCCACGGGUUCCGUGCCGUAGCUAACGCUUUAAGUACCCCGCCUGGGGAGUACGGCCGCAAGGCUAAAACUCAAAGGAAUUGACGGGGCCCCGCACAAGCGGCGGAGCAUGCGGAUUAAUUCGAUGCAACGCGUAGAACCUUACCUGGGUUUGACAUGGAUCGGGAGCGCUCAGAGAUGGGUGUGCCUCUUUUGGGGUCGGUUCACAGGUGGUGCAUGGCUGUCGUCAGCUCGUGUCGUGAGAUGUUGGGUUAAGUCCCGCAACGAGCGCAACCCUUGUUCACUGUUGCCAGCACGUUAUGGUGGGGACUCAGUGGAGACCGCCGGGGUCAACUCGGAGGAAGGUGGGGAUGACGUCAAGUCAUCAUGCCCCUUAUGUCCAGGGCUUCACGCAUGCUACAAUGGCUGGUACAGAGAGUGGCGAGCCUGUGAGGGUGAGCGAAUCUCGGAAAGCCGGUCUCAGUUCGGAUUGGGGUCUGCAACUCGACCUCAUGAAGUCGGAGUCGCUAGUAAUCGCAGAUCAGCAACGCUGCGGUGAAUACGUUCCCGGGGCU